AGAAACUUAGGUUACCCUUAAACCAGAGGCCUUCAAAGCCUCAAACAGGAAGCAUACUCCUAGUUUCUG
rnacentral:tRNA from 1 species